GGGUCAGUAGGUUGGUCGUGCCACCGGUACGUACUGGCCUCACUGAUUCCUCCUUCCUGAAGAACCGUAAUGCCAUUAAUUUGGUGUUGCGGGGAAACAGGACUGUUACUUUGAAAAAAUUAGAGUGUUUAAAGCAAGCUAACGCUUGAAUACAUUAGCAUGGAAUAAUGAAAUAGGACGAUCGAUCCUAUUUUGUUGGUUUCUAGGAUUGACGCA
rnacentral:rRNA from 1 species